rnacentral:rRNA from 1 species
ACUCAAAGGAAUUGACGGGGACCCGCACAAGCGGUGGAGCAUGUGGUUUAAUUCGACGCAACGCGAAGAACCUUACCUGGGUUAAAUCCGGCCUUGCGGCCCUGGAGACAGGGCGUCCCUUCGGGGGAGGCCGGACGGUGCUGCAUGGCUGUCGUCAGCUCGUGCCGUGAGGUGUUGGGUUAAGUCCCGCAACGAGCGCAACCCUUGCCGAUAGUUGCCAGCAUUGAGUUGGGCACUCUAUCGGGACUGCCGGUGACAAACCGGAGGAAGGUGGGGAUGACGUCAAGUCAUCAUGGCCUUUAUGUCCAGGGCUACACACGUGCUACAAUGGCCGGUACAGAGCGCAGCGAAGGAGCGAUCUGGAGCCAAUCGCGAAAAGCCGGUCUCAGUUCGGAUUGCAGUCUGCAACUCGACUGCAUGAAGGUGGAAUCGCUAGUAAUCGCGGAUCAGCACGCCGCGGUGAAUACGUUCCCGGGUCUUGUACACACCGCCCGU